rnacentral:rRNA from 1 species
AUUGAACGCUGGCGGCAGGCCUAACACAUGCAAGUCGAACGAGUGGCGGACGGGUGAGUAAUGUCUGGGAAACUGCCUGAUGGAGGGGGAUAACUACUGGAAACGGUAGCUAAUACCGCAUACCAUCGGAUGUGCCCAGAUGGGAUUAGCUAGUCGGUGGGGUAAAGGCUCACCUAGGCGACGAUCCCUAGCUGGUCUGAGAGGAUGACAGGCCACACUGGAACUGAGACACGGUGCAGACUCCUAGGGGAGGCAGCAGAGGUGAAUAUUGCAAAAUGGGCGAAAGCCUGAGGCAGCAAUGCCGCGUGUUUGAAGGAGGCCUUCGGGUUGUAAAGUACUUUAAGCGGGGAAGCGUUACCCGCAGAGGAAGCACCGGCUAACUCCGUGCCAGCCGCCGCGGUAAUUC